GGGGGGGGGGGGGGGGGGGGGGGGGGGGGGGGGGGGGGGGGGGGGGGGGGGGGGGGGGGGGGGGGGGGGGGGGGGGGGGGGGGGGGGUGACCAGGGGGUGACCAGUGGGUGACCAGGGGGUGACCAGGGAUGUCCAGGGGCUGGACACCAGCAGUCAGUCCUGGGGUGGGGUGGCCUGGGGUGUCCUAGGGGUGUCUGGGGGAGUCCAGGGGUGUCCUGGAGGAGGCCAGGGGCCAGAUACCAGUGGUCAGUCCUGGGGAGAGGUGGCCAGGAGUGACCGGGGUGGUGUCCAGAGGGUGUCUGAGGGAGUACAGGGUGUGUCCAGGGGCUGGACCCCAGUGGUCAGUCCAAGGACAGGGGCUGGAGGGUGUCCAGGGGUGUCCUGGGAGUGUCCAAGAACUGGUCAUCAGUGGUCAGUGCUGGGGAGGGGUGGCCAGAGGUGUCCUGGGGGGUGUCCAGGGGUUGGAUACCAGUGGUCAGUCUUUGGGGAGGGGGAUCUGGGGAUGUCCAGGUGUGUCCAGGGGGUGCCCAGGUACAUCCAGGUGUGCCCAGGUUUACCCAGGUACAUCCAGGGGGUACAUCCAGGUGUGCCCAGGUACAUCCAGGGGGUACAUCCAGGUGUGCCCAGGUACAUCCAGGUGUGCCCAGGUAUAUCCAGGGGGUACAUCCAGGUGUGCCCAGGUACAUCCAGGUGUGCCCAGGUAUAUCCAGGGGGUACAUCCAGGUGUGCCCAGGUACAUCCAGGUGUGCCCAGGUAUAUCCAGGGGGUACAUCCAGGUGUGCCCAGGUACAUCCAGGUGUGCCCAGGUAUAUCCAGGGGGUACAUCCAGGUGUGCCCAGGUACAUCCAGGUGUGCCCAGGUAUAUCCAGGGGGUACAUCCAGGUGUGCCCAGGUACAUCCAGGUGUGCCCAGGUAUAUCCAGGGGGUACAUCCAGGUGUGCCCAGGUACAUCCGGGGGGGGGGGGGGGGGGGGGGGGGGGGGGGGGGGGGGGGGGGGGGGGGGGGGGGGGG
rnacentral:lncRNA from 12 species